ensembl:lncRNA
GGCAUGCUAAUCAGCUGGUUUUCAAUAUGUAGCCAUGUUGGGGCCAGGCGUGGGCACAGUUGCACUGAAUUCAAUUAGUUAUUUAGCGUUUUCUAGCGCCGUCUGAAGAUAUGAGCCACAGAAUAUGGGAAGGGGCAGGGGGAUAUUUAUGAGAAGAAAGUACUGGAAAAGUCUCAAUAAUUUCUCCCCAAAAAUCUCACACUAUGCGAUGUAAUGUGCCCAUAGAUUUCUUUCCAUUGGUAUAAGCCUACAGGGCUUUUAUAUCCAUGUGUUUUACUAGGUAACUUGGUCUUGGUGCGAGUAAUAAGAAGUGAUUAACAAGCACUUAAAAUGUCAUUUCCAUGUCAUACUGGGAUGGGUCAUGGCUUGCCGGGGAAAUUCCCAAAAGUUUUGUUAAAUUCAAAGUUCUUAAAGGUAAAGCAGUCACACAGGACGUCAUGUAGGCAGAGGUAAAGCAGUCAUACAGGACGUCAUGUAGGCAGAGGUAAAGCAGUCAUACAGGACGUCAUGUAGACAGAGGUAAAGCAGUCACACAGGAAGUCAUGUAGGCAGAGGUAAAGCAGUCAUACAGGAUGUCAGCGUGCAUAUAGACAGAGGUAAAGCAGCACAUCAUCAACAUUAUAUAUAUGUAGCAUGGGUCACCUACCAUAACAACACUCUGGUUCUUCUCUAUGUCAUUAAUGCUGUUUGAAUCCCUGGUUGUGUCCCAAAUGCCCCCUAAUCUCCUUUAUAGUGCACUACGAAGGCCCACAUGCCUCUAGUCAAACGUACUACAGCGAAUAGGUUGCCAUUUCAGACACACUCCCUGUAUGACCAAAGCCAGAGUAUAGACUACAGCAGAGACCACAGCAGAGACUACAUCAGAGACUACAGUAUAGACUACAGCAGAGACUACAGUAUAGACUACAUCAGAGACUACAGUAUAGACUACAGCAGAGACUACAGCAGAGACUACGGUAUAGACUACAGCAGAGACUACAUCUGAGACUACAGUAUAGACUACAGCAGAGACCACAGCAGAGACUACAGUAUAGACUACAGCAGAGACCACAGCAGAGACUACAGCAGAGACUACAGUAUAGAUUACAGCAGAGACCACAGCAGAGACUACAGUAGAGACCACAGCAGAGACUACAGUAUAGACUACAUCAGAGACUACAGCAGAGACCACAGCAGAGACCACAGCAGAGACUACAGUAUAGACCACAGCAGAGACUACAGUAUAGACUACAGCAGUGACUACAGCAGAGACCACAGUAUAGACUACAGCAGAGACUACAGUAUAGACUACAGCAGAGACUACAGUAUAGACCACAGCAGAGACUACAGUAUAGACUACAGCAGAGAUCACAGCAGAGACUACAGUAUAGACUACAGCAGAGACUACAGUAUAGACUACAACAGAGACUACAGUAUAGAUUACAACAGAGACUACAGUAUAGACCACAGCAGAGACUACAGUAUAGACUACAACAGAGACUACAGUAUAGACUACAGCAGUAACUACAGCAGUAACUACAGCCUUUGAAGUGAUCAGGUGGUCAUGCAUGAAUUUGUUGCAGCUCUAAUCUAUAUUAAUGCAACAGCUCUGUGGUUCCAAGUCCUUAUUGGCUCCUGACACCCAGUAAAAGGUCACCCUUGUUUUUAAUUUGCCUCAGUUUAACUCAAUACCCAGUCGAAAAGAUAAGGCUAUUUUUGAGAGGUGAUGUCAGUCUGGUAUGAGAUAUUACAUUCCAAGGGUGUUGAAAUCAAUCAUGUGUACAGUAAUCACAUGUUAAUUCUGUGUAAGGUUCUGUAUUUUUUUUUCAGUCAACCUUAUGUUCUGUUUCGUUGUGUUCUUGAACGUAGCCGUGUCUUACAUUUUGUUCAUUGAUUUCACCUGUGUUCAUUUUUCAACUGGUCUCAUCAGCUCCCUAUUUAGUUCAGUUCUUUCUGUUUGUGCCUUUGUGAGAUAUUGUUCGUUUUGACUCCACUAAGCCUUUUCCUAGCUCGUUUGUGAGAACCAGUUAUAGCCUUCAGCCCUAGUUUUGAUUCACCUGCCUGUUUGCCUACUUGUGUAUGACCAUUGCCUGCCUGUGACCACGAUUCUUGCCUUCUGUGAAGGUGAAAUUAACACCUACCGCUCUCUGCAUGUGAAUCUACACCUUUUUCUCUCUGAGUAUUCAUUAUGUUCUGCAUACAAACUGUAAUGAUUGAAGAGGAGCUUUAUUCAACCUACACUGUAACCUUGAUCUUAAACGCUAAAAGCUGACAUGUAAAUGUAAUCUAAAUGACUGGACCUAAUGUUCCCCUAGUAAAGUUAUACAGUUACAAUUUCAUUAAUGUUUGGUGCUGAAUUAUCUGGCUCUUAAUUUAUUUUAUGGAGGUAGAGCAAUAAAGUUGACUUGACG